rnacentral:miRNA from 1 species
UUUACCAUUUCAAUAUGACCUA